rnacentral:rRNA from 1 species
UACAGAGGGUGCGAGCGUUAAUCGGAAUUACUGGGCGUAAAGCGCGCGUAGGCGGCUUUGCAAGUCGAGUGUGAAAUCCCCAGGCUCAACCUGGGAACUGCAUUCGAGACUGCAUAGCUAGAGUAUGGGAGAGGGAAGUGGAAUUUCAGGUGUAGCGGUGAAAUGCGUAGAUAUCUGAAGGAACAUCAGUGGCGAAAGCGACUUCCUGGACCAAUACUGACGCUCAUGUGCGAAAGCGUGGGGAGCAAACAGG